AAACCAACAGGGAUUGCCCUAGUAACGGCGAGUGAAGCGGCAACAGCUCAAAUUUGAAAUCUGGCCCUCGGGUCCGAGUUGUAAUUUGUAGAGGAUGCUUUUGGCGCGGUGCCUUCCGAGUUCCCUGGAACGGGACGCCUUAGAGGGUGAGAGCCCCGUACGGUUGGACACCAAGCCUCUGUAAAGCUCCUUCGACGAGUCGAGUAGUUUGGGAAUGCUGCUCUAAAUGGGAGGUAAAUUUCUUCUAAAGCUAAAUAUUGGCCAGAGACCGAUAGCGCACAAGUAGAGUGAUCGAAAGAUGAAAAGCACUUUGAAAAGAGGGUUAAACAGCACGUGAAAUUGUUGAAAGGGAAGCGUUUGCGACCAGACCUUUUCCUGGCGGAUCAUCCGGUGGUUUCCACCGGUGCACUUCGCCAGGUCGAGGCCAGCAUCGGUCUCUGUAGGGGGAUAAAAGCUCGGGGAACGUAGCUCCUCCGGGAGUGUUAUAGCCCUCUGCAUAAUACCCUUACGGGGACCGAGGACCGCGCCUUCGGGCAAGGAUGCUGGCGUAAUGGUUGUCAACGAC
rnacentral:rRNA from 1 species